GACAGAGGUCCCGAGCGUUAGGCGGAAUCACUGGGCUUAAAGCGUGUGUAGGCGGAUUUGUAAGUACCUUGUGAAAUCCCACAGCUUAACUGUGGAACUGCUUGGUAUACUGCUUAUCUUGGGCCACUUAGGGGUUACCGGAACAAACGGUGGAGCGGUGAAAAUGCGUAGAUAUCGUUUGGAACGCCAAUGGUGAAAACAGGUAACUGGGAGUGUGCCGACGCUGAGAUACGAAAGCCAGGGGAGCGAACGGG
rnacentral:rRNA from 1 species